GAUGAACGCUGGCGGCGUGCCUAAUACAUGCAAGUCGAGCGAACAGGCGAGGAGCUUGCUCCUCUGACGUUAGCGGCGGACGGGUGAGUAACACGUGGAUAACCUACCUAUAAGACUGGGAUAACUUCGGGAAACCGGAGCUAAUACCGGAUAAUAUAUUGAACCGCAUGGUUCAAUAGUGAAAGACGGUUUUGCUGUCACUUAUAGAUGGAUCCGCGCCGCAUUAGCUAGUUGGUAAGGUAACGGCUUACCAAGGCAACGAUGCGUAGCCGACCUGAGAGGGGGAUCGGCCACCCUGGAACUGAGACACGGUCCAGACUCCUACGGGAGGCAGCAGUAGGGAAUCUUCCGCAAUGGGCGAAAGCCUGACGGAGCAACGCCGCGUGAGUGAUGAAGGUCUUCGGAUCGUAAAACUCUGUUAUUAGGGAAGAACAAAUGUGUAAGUAACUAUGCACGUCUUGACGGUACCUAAUCAGAAAGCCACGGCUAACUACGUG
rnacentral:rRNA from 1 species